UGUCCUUGCCAAGGGGCUGUGGGGGGCCUGGGGCAGUGGAGAGGUCCCUGGGCGCUGGGAUGGGUCCCUGCUGCCUGGGGAGCAGUGGGCAGGCUCUCCGUGCUACUGGCACGUCCGCGGUGUGGCGGGGGAUAGUAAGUGACAGCAUCAGCAAGGCAGCUGGCUCUGGGCUGUUGCCAAGAGUCUUCAAAUUUGGAUUGCCAAGACACCAUCGUGACAGGUUGGCUUUCCUGGCAGCUCACGGGGAAGGGGAGCCUCGUGCGAGCAUCGCUCUUGGGCAGCUGAGAGCAGGGCACGCAGGUCUGUAGCUGGGGUAUGGGGUACCCUUCUCUCUGGCAAGGCUGAUGGAGGAGGCAAUACUCUAGUUACCUGAAGAGGAGGGCACUGGCCUUCCCCCAUUGUACCUUGAAAUCUCUCUCUCUCAAUUUCUCUCUCCUCUUUGCCCUUUUACAUGCAGCUGUUGUUACUAAUCAGCUGCAACUCCUGGUCCACUCAUUCUAGUGCUGUGUGAUAGUGGGGCAAAAUGAUAACCCAGUUAGAUAGAGGUGCCCUCAAUCAUGUUACAUCCUUUCUGUCAACCCUGUUUUUGUAACAAGGGCUGUAAUGCUCAAACCUAAGCUUACCUGGGAAAAAAAUGUGUGCAUGUCAAGGAUAUGUUAUGGUUACAGCUCUACUGUGCACAGGAAACUCUGUUGUCCUGUUUGGGAAGCAAUUAGACUGCCCUGGGCUUGGAAUCUCCAGCAGGCAGAGGUACUUGCUUCUAGCUGGUCUUUUAUUGGUUCAUCUUUCUUGGAUGACAGACCUGUUAUGAGAAUUACUGAGGAGAUGUCAGAAGCAGGCUGCAGUUUUGGAAACAAAUACGCCUGUUGUGGUGGUUGUUUCUGAGGAGUUGCAAACCACACGCACCAGCUGUCUGGAGCAGCAAUAUUUCUUGCAGCUUUUCUGGUCUUCUCUGAGCAGCUGUUGCACGUCACUAGUUCCCAGCUGUGAAGGCUGCACGCGCAGCCUGGCCAGCCAGCAGAUCGAGGGCUGGUACUAUACUUCCAUGUGAGAAACUCCCCUUCAUAAUUAGUGGACCUUCAUAAAAAUGUCGCGUACAGCAGGAGGAAUUAAGCAGGCUCCGGGUGUCCCAGGAUGGCUAUUCAUUUUUAAAAGAUUGGUUUAACCUCUAUUCAAUUUUGAAGUUUAUAAAGCAUGGCUUACAGGAUGAGCCAAUAGGAAUCUGUGGCAUCUGCGUAUAGUUCCAACAGUACGUUUUCCUGCAGCUGGGAAGCUGUGAGCCUUGGACGCUCCCUGACAUACAGCUGGGUUCUGGGAAGGGAAUGCAAAUCACACUAGGCUCUGCGAGUCAGAACUGCAGUCAGUGCUGCCACCAGGCAUGGCCUUCCUCUGCUGCCACCAACAUGAUCUGCAAAUGCUUGCUGAGAGCACCAGCUCUGGCUUUGGGGCAGCGAGAGAGGCCCUAGGAGCUUCUGUGCCCUCCAGCAACCCUCUGACUCCUCAGCACUCAUAUGCUGAGUGAAUGCCAGGGCAUUAGUAAGGUGGGUGUAACUCCAAGCAAUUAUAAUUGUUGGAACUUGAGCAGUCAGGGAAGAGCAGAGACAAUCUUGUGAGCCAGCAUUUAUAUGCAAGAUAUUAAGUCAAUUGUGUGUGCGUCUGGGGGGAAGACUAAACCAAUAUCGUAUGUUACUAAAAGCACACGUUUGACUACCACGAUGAAUUGUCAAACUAUUGUUACUUGAAACACUUCACUUUGCAGGAAGGCAAGAAACUAACUGAAAAGUUUCCUUUAUUAAAGAUUUAGCCUUUGCCUAUUGAAGGAAGUUUAGUUAUGUAUCUUCCCUUGGCAUGUGCUUUCUUCUGAAGAGUGAUGUUCGUUCUUUUCAUUUUUUUGUGAGACGUUUUAGUUCCUCUAGUACUCGAAGAGCAGUUGACUUGUGCCUUGGGAACUUCUGUAUAUGCUGGGCAGGUGUAUGAUGCUGAUAUUGGGUUAUGCCGUGGCUGAAUGCAGCUUCUGCAGCUCAAAGUCAGCCUGCUAGUUUUGAAAUACAAUGCUGUAAUAUUUCCACAUAGUCUAAUAACAAACAGAUCUAAUUUGUAAUGGCCAUUUCCGUCUUGCAGUUCUCAGAAAUAGUGUUGCCUGACAUUCCAUAGUUAGGAGACUUGCUGAUGAGGGCUGUGGCUGUGGCUGCCAGCAAAGACCCAGCUGCUGGAUGAACCUUGGCAAUUCAGAACUGAGGACUCAAACAUUUGGAGAUCAGUUAAUAAUAUGAAAGAAGAAAAAGGAACUAAGAGCUAUUAGUAAUUUUUUUUUUUUUGCAUGAACAGUUCUUGCUGUGCCCCAGCAGUUAAAGGUAGUUAGCUCUUCGAGAGCUACUAUAAGCACUCUCAUCCUGUUUUUGCAUCUAUCUCUUACUCCUGCAAGAGAAGCAGACCAUGGUUUUGAGCCUGAGCAUGACUUUGUUCUAUUUUAUGGUACUUUAUUUCUUAAAAGUUUUGAAAACCUGACAUAAAAGCUUCUUGAAGCUCUGCUGACCACUUUAGUUGCACAGGAGGCCUACAGUCCACAGUGUGAGGAGGACCUGAUUUCUCAGAUACCACAAAAUGGGUACAAAACUGACUGGAAAACCAUUGCAGGGAACUUAACAGUGGUUCCCUGUUCACCUGAAAGGAUUUAUCAAGUAAGUUCUUUGUUUUGGCUUGGAUAAUGGAACCAAGAAUGUGCUUAUUAAUUUUGCAGAUGAUAUUGGGCUGGGAAUGGAUUCGAGAGCUUUGAAGAACAGGAUUAGAAUCAAAGUGAACUUGAAAAAUUGAUCAAAUGGUUUGAAAAAAAUACGGUGCAGUUCAGUGAGGAGAGAGAGACAACUAUACUUAGGUAAGAACAACCAAUUACAUGAAACCAGAGUGGGAGGAGAUGGUUUGAGCCAUAUUUUGCAGAAAAGGAGUUGGGUAACAGCUGACACACUGACCUAGAGUUGGUAGUGGUAAGCUGUUGUAGUAUUGGCUGACAUCAGCUGAGGGUACGCUCACAGGAAUGUGAUGAGUUGGUUUGUGCUCUGCAGAGCUGGGCUAAAGCUUUCCAUAGCACCCUGGCCCCCUGAGGAGAGCCCGCUGAGCAGCAAGAGCUGUCAGAGAUCUAGCACUCAAGACUAUGGUGGAAGGCUGCUGGCAUCAGGGUUGUCUCGUUCAGCAGUUCACUUCCAGCUGCGGGUUUGAGGUACUCCACUGCUCUCACAGGGAAAACCAAUUAGAAGACUUCUGAUGCCAGCGAUUGAUCGUUGUCUGCCAGGUGUAACUGAAUGUUCUGGGAGAGUAAGAUUCUUUACUUGUGGCUAACCAAAAAUCUUUAACUGUGAUUGCUAUACUGCUUAUAGCUGCGUUGCUUAGUGAUUGCUGUCCAGAGUGCAGCAUCACAACUUGUCUUUAGGCCAUAGCCUGAAGAGAUAGCUGUUAAAGAGCUAUUCACCAAUUACACAAAGGCAACUUACGCAGCAGUUCUGUCCAGCCUCCUUCUCGGGAGGCAAUUCUUUCUUCAGCUUUUUGCAGUUGAUGGAACUCAAGGUUUGCCUUGUCAAAUGCUUGUUAAAUCUCCAAGACUUAUGAGUUACUCAUCAGAGAGCAGAGCAGGAGAAAGAGGUGGACAGAAUAGCCUGGGGGUUUUCCUUUAAGUUUCCAGGAGGAAUUUCAAGGUAGCAUCUCCAUGGCUUUGUCAUGCAACUUUCUUGUGAUUGCAGUCUCCUCUGGGUUUCUUUUUACAAGAUGAGGCAAGCCAAAUGUGUGGUUUUUAAGCUCGCUCUGACACAUUGAUACACGCAGUAUAAAAUGAGUCAUCUUUGGCUUAGAUUGCAUCCAAAAUGAGCUUACCAGCAUAGCUCCUUUCACUUGCUGUAGUGUCUGUGUGAGUUUUACAGAUUCUGCUCAGAAUCCUGCAUCUGUUUAAUUUUCAUCAACCUGAUUUCAUUUCUGCUUGUGGACACAGUCUAAUUUAUAUUCAUAUUAAUACCUAAGAACCAGACACUGAUUUUGGUCUAGACUUUGGCUUUAUUAGCAAUGGGUCCUCCCGGAGGAGGAGAUUCCAGGACCAGAUAGCCCUGAACUGAGAUGUGAAGAUGGAAGCCCCUUCUGUGCAAGUGAAGGGAGCAGUGCCUGCUCUGUUCCUGAGUUCAGCCUACAACAAUUUUUGGAAUAUUGUAGCAGCCUGUUUACAAUUAUCUGCUUUUUCUGAGCACUCAGCCGCCGUUUUCAGGCAGAAUACAAGGUCACUGCCUCAAGUUACCUUAGUAGAGCAAACAACAUGCAGUUUGUUCACAAACUUAAAUUGUCCUGCAGGUCUCGUCUUUGAUGCUUUGAGCACUGUGUCCCUGUGACUGUUGGGGCUUGCAUUCUUCUAUGUAUGCUGUCUGCUAGGGCAGCAGUUUUCUGAAUCUGCUGGAGAACUCCAUUUAUCUAGAAACUCUCAAAUGGUUAAUCUAAUUUUAUAAGAAACAGACAAUGUGUUUUUCCUGGCUCUGGGAAUUCUUACUUUAACAUGGGACCCCUUCAUUUGGGAGCAGGCCAAGCUGGAUGGCAGCUUCCCGGCUAUGAAUCUUCCAUUUGUAGUGUGUCUGACUGUAUUACACUGCACCGGAAGAGGCGCGGUGAAUGUUUAUGGAAGUGAUAGCCAAGUAGCUGUGAGAUCCAGACUUCUAGAACAGUGGGCGUAUUAUAGCUUAAAAAGGCAAUUUCUCUGCCAAAUCUCAUUGUGCAAGAGGGUUUAUUCUUCAGCCAUGCAAAGAUUUCACUUUGUUCGUUCUUUUUUCACUGGAUCUCUAAGACUUGGGAAGGAGACUGCAAAACUGCAGUGGAAAAUUAGUAUUUAGCUCAUCUGACUUGCGUUACCACGACAGAGCUCUGCUGUGCUCAGAUGUCCAGCUUGCAUGAAAACAACCAGCUGGCAUUGCCUUCCUGUUUAGUGCUUCCAGACUGACCUGGGGAAGACAUGUAUUAGAGCUUUCCCUGUUUGUUUUGUUUUGUUUUUUAAUGUUUUGAACACUUUACUAAGCUACAUGAUAUGCCACAAGUUGCACAGUGUGGAAAUGUAAUGCAGUGCUGGGGAGCAAGCCUGGGCUCACUUUUUAUGUGAUACUAAGAAAGGUAUUUCCUUGCAUUGCCUGCAGAAGAAAAAAAAUUAUGUCAAGAGGCACAUUCUUUUCUUGUAACAGAGGUGGUUUUAGGGCACCGAGUCUUCUCAGAACGCUAUUAUGAAACAAUUACCAGAGGUACAGUUGAAAAUUUAGACUGCAUAUAUCCUGUGAAACAUAAUACCUUUCCGUUUGAAGCUGCUUUUUCCUGACUGCCAGGGAACAACCCCCUUCCUGUUCUUGGAAAACAAGGGCCUGGCUAAAAGGCUGAGCUAACUGGACUCAUGUCCACCAAGAAAUGUUAAAUGACAUUAUAGUUAAUAUAUUACCAGGUACUGUGUCAAUGGCUUCUGUAACUCUUUGCCUGUCUAACUGCAGUAGUAUUCCAGCUGAAGGAGGAGGUUAGCAAGAAGCUGUCUUGGAGACAACAGGAGAAUGCUCUAUGCCGUGGAGCACAAGAGAUCUGAAAAAGCGUGUAAUUCAGUUUUCCAUUUGUGUUUGCUUCCUGCUGAAAUAGCAGGGUUAAUAAUUGUAGAUGAGCCUGAUCUCGCAGUGUAUGAACGGCGUUGCUUGGAAGCCAGCGAAGCAGACGGGAACUUUCGCUGAAGGUGGCCAAAUGCGUGAGUAUGGUGGGGAGGUGACUGAAUGAAUGUUCUCUGUGUUGUAAGGGGUCUUGUGUGGCUGUUCUCUGCUAAUGUUACAGUUCUGUCUUCUCUGCACCCGCUGGCUGUCCUGUCUGCCAUCCCACAAGUGUGGAGCUCCCACAACAUUGCUAUCACUGUUGUACUUGCAUGUAUGUUCUUCUACACUGGCUCUAUGUUGCCUCCUUAUACUGAAAGUCUCACAGGGCCAAAUCUGUCUGCUCUGGUACAGUGCUUGGCUUGCUGAGGGCCUCAGGCACUGUUGUAAUAAAUGUGAUAAAUGUAAUAAAUAGCAGAAUAGGGAGAGCCUGUUGCCUUAAUCUGAUUGAGAAACUGGAGCUCAGAGCCCUGGUCAGAGCUGGGGAGCUGCAGAGCUCCCUCCGUGCUAGGAGUGGAAACUUGGGACUAGGAGUUCUGGAGACUACCUAAGCUCUACAUGCGGUCAGCUCUGUGAUGGACCAUUGAAGCCUCAGGUAUAGUAUUUAUGAGCCAGAAAUAGGUAUUUUCACAGGAGCUCAAGGAUUCUCCCCUCCAGCACUGACCUGCUGGCUUUUUGGUGGGCCUAAGGAUUGGUAGAUACAGUGAUAUCGUCCUUCCAGUGAGUGACUGGUGAGGCAAAGGAAAUGGGUUUCCUAUAUGGCAUUCCAGGACAGAGCUGGUAUAUCAUGGCUUAAGGUACUGAAGCAUGUACUUGGAACAAAUCUGGUUGCUAAAAAGUGCUUAAACUGCUUAACAAAACUAAAAUAAAACCCUGAUUUGAAAGACAA